rnacentral:lncRNA from 1 species
UAUGUUAAUCCAAACCCGUCAGGUCUGGGAUCUCAAUCUCCUUCAUGAAUUCAAUCUCAUCACUCAACUCCUCCACCGCUACCCUUUCAUCUCCAUCGACACUGAGUUCCCAGGCGUCCUCAUCCGCCCCACCCUCCACCGCCACCCUCUCCGCCCUUCCGAUCACUACCUCCUCCUCAAGUCCAACGUCGACGCUCUCAACCUAAUCCAACUCGGUCUCACCCUCUCCGACGCCCACGGCAACCUCCCCACACUCGGCACCAAAAACUCCUUCAUCUGGGAGUUCAAUUUCAGGGAUUUCGACGUUGCACGCGACCCCCACGCCCCGGAUUCCAUCGAGCUCUUGAAACAACAGGGGAUUGAUUUCCACCGGAACAGAACUCAUGGGGUUUG